rnacentral:rRNA from 1 species
GACGAACGCUGGCGGCGUGCUUAACACAUGCAAGUCGAACGAUGAAGCCGGAGCUUGCUCUGGUGAAUUAGUGGCGAACGGGUGAGUAACACGUGAGUAACCUGCCCUUGACUCUGGGAUAACUGCGGGAAACUGUAGCUAAUACCGGAUACGACCCUCGGAGGCAUCUCCUGGGGGUGGAAAGAAUUUCGGUCAAGGAUGGACUCGCGGCCUAUCAGCUAGUUGGUGAGGUAAAGGCUCACCAAGGCGACGACGGGUAGCCGGCCUGAGAGGGUGACCGGCCACACUGGGACUGAGACACGGCCCAGACUCCUACGGGAGGCAGCAGUGGGGAAUAUUGCACAAUGGGCGCAAGCCUGAUGCAGCAACGCCGCGUGAGGGAUGACGGCCUUCGGGUUGUAAACCUCUUUUAGCAGGGAAGAAGCGAAAGUGACGGUACCUGCAGAAAAAGCACCGGCUAACUACGUGCCAGCAGCCGCGAAUA